AGAGUUUGAUUCCUGGCUCAGGAUGAACGCUGGCGGCGUGCUUAACACAUGCAAGUCGAACGAUGAAGACCGUGCUUGCACGGUUGGAUUAGUGGCGAACGGGUGAGUAUCACGUGAGUAACCUUCCCUUGACUCUGGGAUAAGCCCGGGAAACUGGGUCUAAUACCGGAUACGACCAGUCCUCGCAUGGGGUGCUGGUGGAAAGAUUUAUCGGUCUUGGAUGGACUCGCGGCCUAUCAGCUUGUUGGUGAGGUAAUGGCUCACCAAGGCGAUGACGGGUAGCCGGCCUGAGAGGGUGACCGGCCACACUGGGACUGAGACACGGCCCAGACUCCUACGGGAGGCAGCAGUGGGGAAUAUUGCACAAUGGGCGAAAGCCUGAUGCAGCGACGCCGCGUGCGGGAUGACGGCCUUCGGGUUGUAAACCGCUUUCAGCACGGAAGAAGCGAAAGUGACGGUACCUGCAGAAGAAGCGCCGGCUAACUACGUGCCAGCAGCCGCGGUAAUACGUAGGGCGCGAGCGUUAUCCGGAAUUAUUGGGCGUAAAGAGCUCGUAGGCGGUUUGUCACGUCUGCUGUGAAAGCCCGAGGCUCAACCUCGGGUGUGCAGUGGGUACGGGCAGACUAGAGUGCAGUAGGGGAGACUGGAAUUCCUGGUGUAGCGGUGAAAUGCGCAGAUAUCAGGAGGAACACCGAUGGCGAAGGCAGGUCUCUGGGCUGUUACUGACGCUGAGGAGCGAAAGCAUGGGGAGCGAACAGGAUUAGAUACCCUGGUAGUCCAUGCCGUAAACGUUGGGCACUAGGUGUGGGGGACAUUCCACGUUUUCCGCGCCGUAGCUAACGCAUUAAGUGCCCCGCCUGGGGAGUACGGCCGCAAGGCUAAAACUCAAAGGAAUUGACGGGGGCCCGCACAAGCGGCGGAGCAUGCGGAUUAAUUCGAUGCAACGCGAAGAACCUUACCAAGGCUUGACAUGGACCGGAUCGCUGCAGAGAUGCAGUUUCCCUUCGGGGUCGGUUCACAGGUGGUGCAUGGUUGUCGUCAGCUCGUGUCGUGAGAUGUUGGGUUAAGUCCCGCAACGAGCGCAACCCCUAUCCUAUGUUGCCAGCACGUGAUGGUGGGGACUCAUGGGAGACUGCCGGGGUCAACUCGGAGGAAGGUGGGGACGACGUCAAAUCAUCAUGCCCCUUAUGUCUUGGGCUUCACGCAUGCUACAAUGGCCGGUACAAUGGGUUGCGAUACUGUGAGGUGGAGCUAAUCCCUAAAAGCCGGUCUCAGUUCGGAUCGAAGUCUGCAACUCGACUUCGUGAAGUUGGAGUCGCUAGUAAUCGCAGAUCAGCAACGCUGCGGUGAAUACGUUCCCGGGCCUUGUACACACCGCCCGUCAAGUCACGAAAGUGGGUAACACCCGAAGCCGGUGGCCUAACCCUUGUGGGGGGAGCCGUCGAAGGUGGGACUCGCGAUUGGGACUAAGUCGUA
rnacentral:rRNA from 1 species